GGAGGUAUAGCUCAGUGGGUAGAGCGAAUGCUUGGUAUGCAUGAGGUCCUGGGUUCAAUCCCCAGUGCCUCUG
rnacentral:tRNA from 1 species